GACUAAAAAGCCAAAAAAUUUUGCGCACCAAAAUCAAAUGUGCACGAAAGAAAAACAGAGUAACAGUUGUGAGUGUGAAGUGAAGUAGUGAUCAAAAUCGCAAUUGUAGGGUUUUGUUUUCCGAAAGAGGAAGAACGAAGAAGAUAAUUGAAUCAAUUCAUGGGAAUUGGAGCGAAAUUCUGGGACGCGCUAAAACCCUACGCUAAACACGAGGGUUUCGAUUUUCUCAGGAACAAAAAAGUAGCCGUUGAUCUUUCUUUAUGGAUUGUACAACAUAAUACUGCUCUCAAUUCGUCCAACGUCCGAAAUCCUCAUAUUCGCCUCACUUUCUUCCGCACCAUCAAUCUUUUUUCUAAGUUUGGAGCGUAUCCUGUAUUUGUUGUGGAUGGAAAGCCUUCGCCGUUGAAAUCUCAAGCAAGGAUUGCUCGCUAUUUUCGAUCAUCUGGCAUUGAUUCGAAAGACUUGCCUGUUGCGGAGGAGGGCGUUUGCGUUGAGAGGAAUGAUUAUUUUGUUAAAUGUGUGGAGGAGUGUGUGGAACUUCUCAAGCUUCUUGGGAUGCCCGUUCUAAGAGCUAAAGGUGAAGCUGAAGCACUUUGUGCUCAAUUGAACAAUGAAGGAUUUGUAGAUGCUUGCAUUACAGCUGAUAGUGAUGCAUUCCUUUUUGGGGCUAAGUGUGUGAUAAAACAAGUGGAUCCUAAAUCCACGGAACCAUUUGAAUGCUAUUAUGCUGGAGACAUUGAAGUUGGUCUGGGACUGAGAAGGAAGCACUUAAUAGCUGUUUCUCUUUUAGUUGGGAAUGAUCAUAAUUUAAAUGGAGUGCAAGGAAUAGGGCUGGAAACAGCUCUUCGUUUUGUCAAAAAAUUUCAUGAAGAUGAAGUUUUACAAAGGUUAAAUGAAAUAGGUUCUCAGCCUGUACUUCCAUCUGAUGCAAAUUUAAGUUCUCCAGUCAACUGUACAAGUAAUAUGGAUAAGUUAUCGCAGAAAUUCAAAUCCCCUCAUUGUUCUUUAUGUGGUCAUCCGGGCAACAAAACUGCUCAUAGCAGAGUUCCUUGUGGGUAUUGUCAUAGCACUGCAGGAGUUAAUUGUAGUAAAAAGCCUCCUGGGUUCAGAUGUGAAUGCUCUGGUUGUGUUAGGGACCUGAAAGAAAGGGAACUCAAGAAGAAUGAACAUUGGCACCUUAGAGUGUGCAAGAAGAUAUCCAUGGAGUGCCAUUUUCCUUGCAAUGAGAUCACUGAAAUAUAUAUGAGAAAUGAAGAUAGUGAUGACUUCAGUGCUAGUCUAUUGUGGGAUGGACCAGAUAUCGAUAUGUUAAUUGAUUUUUUGGCUUUUCAUCUUCAUUGGGACCCAUCUUACAUACGACAGCAGAUAUUCCAGAUGCUCUCCACCAUUUCUUUGAGAGAAAUGGCUUUGAAUCCAAGUGAAACUCUUCUGCUUGGACAGUAUAAAUUUGACUCUGUUCAACGUGUAAAAGUUAGGUGUGGUCAUCAGUUUUAUGUGGUCAGGUGGAAAAAAUCUGCACCAGCAAUGAACAAUGUCAAUCAUUCAGUGUCUUCUGAAGGUUAUUUUGUGGAUUCAGCUUCUCAGUCUGAAGAGAUUCAAAUGGAUGGAUCUUGCGGUUUGGACGAGCUUAAUGGACCGCAGCUUCAUGUUGAUGGUGGAUGCAGCUUCAUAUUGACAGAUGAAAAUUUGGAGCUUGUCCAAGCAGCUAGUCCAGCAGAAGUUGACAGGUUUCUGCAGCAGAAGGAAGUGAAAGAAUCUAAAAGAAAAUCCAGAUCUGGAGAAACUUGCGUGGAGUCACAUUCUCCUAAUUUAGGCAGUGGUCAACUAGCAAUUACUGACUAUUAUCGUUCAAGCAAACCACUAACUCAGGCUAAAGACAACCAUGAUCUGGCUCAGAGUGAAGAAGCUGAAUGUUUGAGAGAAAAGAGUAAGGUGACAACAGCAAGCCUCCCAAAAUCAGUGAGACGUCGGCUUUUGUUUAGCUAAAUUCUUUCUAAGAAUUAUGCGGACUUCAUGAACUUGUGCCAACUCUUGCCUGACAUGUGAAAACAUGCGGACUUCAUGAAUCUGUACAUUUUAUCUUUAACAAGUCCUCAGCAUGGCGAAAUAUUUCUGAUGUCAUGCCAAGGUGAUCCGAAUGGCUGGUUUGGCUCAUUAGAGAGAUCAAGAUGGAGGAAAGGAGAGAGUGGUUAAUGCAUUUUGAAUUUGUUGUAUCAUUUGAUAAGUGGUCAAAUUGUGGCUGACUUCUCUUGCUCUUUAUUAUCUGUUCGACUGUCACAUAACUUUAUCAUCUGUUCGACUGUCACAUAACAUGUCAAUACACUAUUGUUUGACAGUAUAAAUCAGUAUUGCAUUAUGUUAGUUUUAAUUUCCUUUUUAAAAACUAGCACUCUUUUGUUUGGGUGUGUAAUUUUGAAAGACAUUUACUUUAGGAUCAAUUACUGUGGAAAGAAAUUAGUUGUAAAGUAAUUACUAAUUAUUACGUUAAAGUUCGCAUUUUCCAA